rnacentral:rRNA from 1 species
UACGUAGGGGGCAAGCGUUGUCCGGAAUCAUUGGGCGUAAAGAGCGUGUAGGCGGCCCGAUAAGUCCGCUGUGAAAUUCCAGGGCUCAACCCUGGAAUGCCAGUGGAAACUGUCGGGCUGGAGUCCGGAAGAGGCGAGUGGAAUUCCUGGUGUAGCGGUGAAAUGCGCAGAUAUCAGGAGGAACACCAAUGGCGAAGGCAGCUCGCUGGGACGGUACUGACGCUGAGACGCGAAAGCGUGGGGAGCAAACAGG